UCAAAAUUUUUAUGUUGAAGCCCCAGUACCACAGAAUGUGACCAUAUUUGGAGAAAGAGCUUUUAAAGAGAGCCAGUGACACUCACAGAUGUUGUUGUGAACUUUAUUGAGGAGGAGUGAAAACACUGAGUCCUUCGCAGAGGAAUGUGUACAGAGAAGUGAUGCUAGAAAACUGAAGGAAUGUGAUCUGUGUGGCAGGAGGCGGAAGAAGAGAGAUGGAUGAUGAGCAGAGAGGCCCUUGCUCAGGGGAGAAAUAGAACCAUGACAUUCUUACAACUGGUGAAUCAGAGGCCUUUCUUCACAUGUUGGCUGAGGUAUCUCAUAGUCAUCUCUGUUUUCACUUAUUUUUUAUCCUCCUAUCCUAUUAGUUUCAUAUUUCUCAGAGGAAGAUGUUUUCUUCCUU